AUUGAACGCUGGCGGCAGGUCUAACACAUGCAAGUCGAACGGUAGCACAGAGAGCUUGCUCUCGGGUGACGAGUGGCGGACGGGUGAGUAAUGUCUGGGAAACUGCCCGAUGGAGGGGGAUAACUACUGGAAACGGUAGCUAAUACCGCAUAACGUCGCAAGACCAAAGUGGGGGACCUUCGGGCCUCACACCAUCGGAUGUGCCCAGAUGGGAUUAGCUAGUAGGUGGGGUAAUGGCUCACCUAGGCGACGAUCCCUAGCUGGUCUGAGAGGAUGACCAGCCACACGGGAACUGAGACACGGUCCAGACUCCUACGGGAGGCAGCAGUGGGGAAUAUUGCACAAUGGGCGCAAGCCUGAUGCAGCCAUGCCGCGUGUAUGAAGAAGGCCUUCGGGUUGUAAAGUACUUUCAGCGGGGAGGAAGGCGGUGGAGUUAAUAACUUCACCGAUUGACGUUACCCGCAGAAGAAGCACCGGCUAACUCCGUGCCAGCCGCCGCGGUAA
rnacentral:rRNA from 1 species